rnacentral:lncRNA from 1 species
CGGCACCGCCCGCGCUGCCGGGCCCGGCUCCGUAUUGUCCUCCCGCCCCCUCCCACCACCCUCGGCCGCUGCCGCGUCCAGCGAGCUGUUGGCCUCCCGUCCGCCCAGUCUGGGUGUGUGUCGCGCGUGCAAUCGCGUAAGACAGGCCGAGUUCGUGGCUGGAGCAAAAAACACCACCUUAAGGGGCUGGGUUUAGUGAAGAAUGGUUUGGGGCCCCGGAGAUCCGAGGGCCCCCUUUGUUGGAGUUUUGCCCGCACGUUGUAAUUUAAGACUCCCACAGUCAGGUGAGAGAGAUUUUGAUCAUAGAGACACCAGCUUUGUGUACGUCUAAUGUAACACGAGUGCCGUGGCUUUCUGGGUUUUUUUUUUUGCAGGGCAGUUUUAUGUCAUUGAGUAGCAAAGGCUUUUGUGCCCUGAGCCUGCUGCGUGAAAUUUGGGCUGAUUCAGGGUGUAUAGCGUAGUAGUAAUUGUGAAAGAACGUGUGUGGGAAAAACAAGCUACAGUGUCAAGCUGGAAGGAACAAAGGCUGUUUUGUAGGAAUGUCUGUCUUUUUGGAGAAUUAUAUCAGUAUUGGGUCUGUUACCCUGAAGGGUGCCACGACUAGGUCUUUGUUCAUCUAUGUCCAGGAAGGUUUGCCUUGAAAGCAGUUCCGAAAGAUAAAGGCUGGAAAGACCGGACGUGGUAGUGACAGAGCGCUGGGGCGCUUCACAUGGUCAAGCAGAGAAAUGGGAAGAGGCUGGCUUGCUUCUUCCUGGUCCUGGGAGAACUGCAAACGGAGCCUUCCUCUUCGUUUUCAUGGCCCCAGGCUUUUCAUGCAGACACUGGUAGUUUCUGGUGGCUGAGAAGAGGGUAAGGAGAAUGUGGGUGGAAUUCAUAGGUGUCUUUGGGGCA